UGCGUAGGUGGUUAUGUAAGUUAGGUGUGAAAUCCCUGGGCUCAACCUGGGAAUUGCGCUUGAUACUGCGUAACUAGAGUGUUGUAGAGGGUGGCGGAAUUUCCGGUGUAGCGGUGAAAUGCGUAGAUAUCGGAAGGAACACCAGUGGCGAAGGCGGCCACCUGGACAAACACUGACACUGAGGCACGAAAGCGUGGGUAGCAAACA
rnacentral:rRNA from 1 species